GAUGAACGCUGGCGGCGUGCCUAAUACAUGCAAGUCGAGCGAACGGACGAGAAGCUUGCUUCUCUGAUGUUAGCGGCGGACGGGUGAGUAACACGUGGAUAACCUACCUAUAAGACUGGGAUAACUUCGGGAAACCUGAUCUAAUACAGGAUGAUAUUUUGAAACGAAUGGUUCAAAAGUGAAAGACGGUCUUGCUGUCACUUAUAGAUGGAUCCGCGCUGCAUUAGCUAGUUGGUAAGGUAACGGCUUACCAAGGCAACGAUGCAUAGCCGACCUGAGAGGGCGAUCAGCCACACUGGAACUGAGACACGGCCCAGACUCCUACGGGAGGCAGCAGUAGGGAAUCUUCCGCAAUGGGCGAAAGCCUGACCGAGCAACGCCGCGUGAGUGAUGAAGGUCUUCGGAUCGUAAAGCUCUGUUAGUAGGGAAGAACAUAUGUGUAAGUAACUGUGCACAUCUUGACGGUACCUAAUCAGAAAGCCACGGCUAACUACGUG
rnacentral:rRNA from 1 species